GCUUUAGUAGCUCAGUGGUAGAGCUCUCGACUGUUAAUCGAUAGGUCGUAGGUUCAAAUCCUACCUGAAGCG
rnacentral:tRNA from 1 species